rnacentral:lncRNA from 1 species
UUUUAGCCGUGUUUCCCAUCAAAUUCUAUAUAACCAUUUGCUAUAUAUCCUACAGUAUAUGUGAAAUAAUCUCAAAGUGGUAGUACAAAUAUUUCCGCUAGUAUUAAGACUAUUGAAUCAUUUGUUUUUUGCUCUUUUUUUACCCUUAAAAUGUAAUCCACAUGAGAAUUUAAAAUCAAAAUAUAGGAAAGUCAUUUGAAAUGAGUUUUCUCUUUUAGUUAUGUCUCCAGAGUAAUAUAUGGUUAUAUUCAUUUAUUUUAGCUGUUUUUUAUUCUUAGUGAUUAAUUUAAUCUUAUGAACAUAAUAAGCAAUUACAUUACCAAGAAUAAACACUUUUAUGAGGUAUAUUCAGAAAAAUCCUGCUUCCAUUCCUAGCCCCUCUUUUCUGUUUCUCUAUCACAAUGGGUAACCAUAUUUUAAUUUAAAUUUUUUGUUCUGUUUUAUAUACCUUUAUAGAUAAAGUAUAUAAAUACACUCACAUAAGAGGAGGUAUAAUAGACAUACUCUAUUUUGUUUUCUCCAUUUAAUGCAUCUUGUAUAGGUCAUAUUCAUACGUAGGAAUCGAUUUGGUUGUUUUUAUUGCAUAGUAUACUUUUGUGUGGAUAUAUCACAGUUUAUUCAACUGGUCCCUGUUGAUGAAUGUUUUGGUUGUUGCUAAUGGUUACCUUUAUGAGUAAUUUUACAAUAAUGUUGUUCAUAAAAAAAUUCCAUCCCUAAGGGAAAUUCUAUUGCUGUUAAAAUAUAAAAUAAUUUAUUAUUUCACCUUGCUGGAUGAAUUAAGGCUCAUUUGAUUAUGAGUCAUAGAAUCCAAAUGAAGCUAAGGUAAGUAGGCUUAGUAACUUAUUGUAAGGAUACACUGGUUUCUAAUGGAACUCAAAGAAGAAUGGGACACCUGGGCCUUGGGACAGUGUCUUAGAGUUAAAAACACUUAUCUCUGGGGAUCAAAGACAGUUCCUCCAGAAGGGGAAGUCCUCAUGAGUUGGCCGGACACCCUCAGAAAUGUCUAUAAGGUGACCGACUGAGCCCACAAGAUGAGUCCAUCUUCUCCAAGAGGUAAGGGUUCAAGUGUGCCAUCAACUAUAGGACCUAUCACAUACGCAGACCACUUUUAUGUGUAAUCAUUUUCAAAUUUUGUAAUGUCAUUGUUUUACUUAAAAGCAAAUACUUUUAAAAUGUUUUAUUUUAAAACUUUAUUUCAUUCUGAGUAUAGUUCAUUUA